UUUUUUUUUUUUUUGAGACGGAGUCUCUCUCUGUCGCCCAGGGUAGAGUGCAGUGGUGCAAUCCUGGCUCACUGCAACCUCUGCCUCCCAGGUUCAAGUGAUUCUCCUGCCUCAGCUUCCCGAGUAGCUGGGACUACAGGCGUGUGCCACCACGCCCAGGAUCUUUCUGCUGAUGCAGCUGUUAAGAGUGUUUCAUAAACUGUGACAACACUGAGCAAAAUCAUAGAAGGAAACUCUAUGGACAAUUUCAGAUGGAGAAGAAGAAAGGACUGGAAGUUCAAUUUGGCCAUGACAAUUAGAGGCCAGGUGCAGUGCAUGUAAUCCCAGCACUUUGGGAGACUGAGAUGGGAAGAUCGCUUGAGGCCAGGAGUGCAAGACCAGCCUGGGCAACACAGCAAGACCUUGACUCUACUAAAAAAAAAAAAGGAUCCUUCAACUUCAACAAUAAUAACACGAGGGAAGUGAAGAAAAACACUUUCUAAGGAAAUCUCUCUCUGAGCUACCAUCCUGCUAGGGAGAGCCUGAAAGCAGAAUGCUGACUUGACUAGCUCUGGUCAAUGAAAGAAAUCACUAGUGGAAAGGCUACCAGGGGGCUUUCUCAAAAGAGAGGGACA
rnacentral:antisense_RNA from 1 species